ACCAUGCAAGUCGAACGAACUCUUCGGAGUUAGUGGCGCACGGGUGCGUAACGCGUGGGAAUCUGCCCUUGGGUACGGAAUAACUCAGAGAAAUUUGUGCUAAUACCGUAUAAUGUCUUCGGACCAAAGAUUUAUCGCCCAAGGAUGAGCCCGCGUAAGAUUAGCUAGUUGGUGGGGUAAAAGCCUACCAAGGCGACGAUCUUUAGCUGGUCUGAGAGGAUGAUCAGCCACACUGGGACUGAGACACGGCCCAGACUCCUACGGGAGGCAGCAGUGGGGAAUAUUGGACAAUGGGCGAAAGCCUGAUCCAGCAAUGCCGCGUGAGUGAUGAAGGCCUUAGGGUUGUAAAGCUCUUUUACCCGGGAUGAUAAUGACAGUACCGGGAGAAUAAGCUCCGGCUAACUCCGUGCCAGCAGCCGCGGUAAUACGGAGGGAGCUAGCGUUGUUCGGAAUUACUGGGCGUAAAGCGCGCGUAGGCGGUUUUUUAAGUCAGAGGUGAAAGCCCAGUGCUCAACACUGGAACUGCCUUUGAAACUGGAAAACUUGAAUCUUGGAGAGGUCAGUGGAAUUCCGAGUGUAGAGGUGAAAUUCGUAGAUAUUCGGAAGAACACCAGUGGCGAAGGCGACUGACUGGACAAGUAUUGACUCUGAUGUGCGAAAGCGUUGG
rnacentral:rRNA from 1 species